rnacentral:tRNA from 1 species
GGUGGUUCAGUGGUGGAAUGCUUGCCUCGCAUGCAUGAGGCCCUGGGUUCGAUUCCUCAGCACCA